rnacentral:rRNA from 1 species
UACGUAGGGGGCUAGCGUUGUCCGGAAUCAUUGGGCGUAAAGCGCGUGUAGGCGGUCCGGUAAGUCCGCUGUGAAAGUCGGGGGCUCAACCCUCGAAUGCCGGCGGAUACUGUCGGGCUAGAGUCCGGAAGAGGCGAGUGGAAUUCCUGGUGUAGCGGUGAAAUGCGCAGAUAUCAGGAGGAACACCAACGGCGAAGGCAGCUCGCUGGGACGGUACUGACGCUGAGACGCGAAAGCGUGGGGAGCAAACAGG